rnacentral:tRNA from 1 species
GUCCCCGUAGCUCAGUGGACCAGAGCAGGCGCCUUCUAAGCGCAAGGUCCCAGGUUCGAAUCCUGGCGGGGACGCCA